CCCUCACUACAGCGAAGUCACCAACUUACUGACCCACAGACGGCUCCUGCGGCAAAGUGCAGUCGGGACCUGCCACCCGGUCCAUCCCUAUGCAACGCUGCAAACCCUGCCAACCUACACGACACCCUAGCAUUUCAGCUGAAUCCAGUAGAGGAUCGGGCAGACAAAAGGGAUCAAACACAGUGCACCCACCCCUCUUACCACUAGUCACGCUGGACUCACUCCUACCAUGCCACAGACUCUGCAGAUCGGGGGUUGGUUGAGCAUGAACUGCCAGGGAGACUCUCUCAAGGUCUGGGCUGCAGUCAGAAGGGAUGGCUCCUGUCACUUUUGCCAUCUAUGCAACCUGAUGCUCUCUUUUAAUAACUUACACAGUUAAAACCACUUGCAUAGCUUAAGCCUUGUCUACCAUUUAUUUUUAUAUUAAUUUAGUUCUGCAUUGAGUCAUAGAUACAAAUCCAGCAAAGCAACUGUUUUAGCAUAUCUUGAAGCUUGAUGUUUAACCUACUCUAACUACACUAACAUAGCUAAUCUAGCAUUGUUAAGCAUUAAUAGUUUUAUUUACUUUUACUCUGACAAUAUACACGUUUAGUCACGCUUGCUAUCAAAAUAUAGAAAAAUGUGCGAAUUUCCAUGCCACUGCCUAACUUUUGUAAAUCCUGCAAUACGCUGUUGUGGCGUCUGUUGAUACCCUGUAACCACCUGCACAACAAAAAU